rnacentral:rRNA from 1 species
UGAGCAAUCUGCCCUUCUCAUCGGAAUAAGCGUUGGAAACGACGUCUAAUGCCGAAUACGACCUCCUUUCGCAUGAUCGGAGGUGGAAAGCUCCGGCGGAGAAGGAUGAGCUCGCGGCCUAUCAGCUAGUUGGUGUGGGUAAUGGCCCACAAGGCGACGACGGGUAGCCGGCCUGAGGAGGGUGACCCGGCCACGACGUGGGACUGAGACACGGCCCAGACCUCCGUACGGGAGCAGG